GGUCCGAACUGCCUCAGCGGAGAAAGGGGACAUAGUGUGCUGGCGGGCGCUGGCUGUUGGCGUUAGAGCUCCGGCUGUGGCUCAGUCUGGGGCGCGGUUCUUGCCAACACACCAUGUCCAGAGACAGCUGACAAAAAAAACUAAAUUGAAACCAGCUCUGGAUGGGAUAACAACACAGGGUCAUACUUACUUUACGGCAGGCACGUUAUUCGCCUUCUUACUCGCACUUACCGCUAUGGAUUCGCUCUUCAGGGGGCACUGAGACAUCCUACAGUGCCCUGGACGGCCCACCCCAACCAUGGUAUCCGUUGUCCAACAGUUUUGGAUACCCCAGAAUCGUCUCCCCGUUCCCCCUCUACAGCAUGGUGCACUACCCCUUCCUUACCUUAAUGAUCUACUCUUCCAUAGCGAAAUGAGAAUACUAAGCCAAGUGGAAUUUCAUUUCUACGUUAUAAAAGAAAAGUGCCUUUGUUGCGUCUGUCAGAUCGCCGGACUGGAAUGCUUCGACGACGGCUCCCCUGGAUAGCAAGACAAUUUGGUAGCGGAGGUGCCCUGGAUCUCCCUUUUUAUGUUCUUGCCAACCUGCAGGGACAACAUUAAACGACCAAAGGGUCUUUUAUUUAAAGUGUAUUCCUAGUGCCCUAGAAUGAGCUCACCCUACUUCCUAGGUUGUAUCGUCCGUUCAAUCACCGGACUGCAGAUAUGAAACCCAAUGUCUACCCUGUUUGCUGCCUAAGUUAUUCUGUUUUCUUUUUUUUUUUAUUUCUUAUAUUUUUAUUCCAGGAUGUGUGUCAAGCUAAGUUUCUCUGUGUAUCGUUCUAAGUAUUGAACAUAUAAAAAGGAGCAUACAUCGGCCUACCUUGGCACCUACGGGCUGCUGGUGCAAAAUUCCCUCGGGGACACUGGAGCAGAUGGCGGCGGUGGAACCAAUGAUGAAGCUGGAGAUGCUGAUGAGAUGAUGAUGUUGUUGAGGAUGGAAAUGUUGACGUUGCCGUGGAUGACGAUGGUUAAAAUUGCAGUAGAGGUGGGUAUUUAUUAUUUGACAAAAAGUUUUUGUUGUUCUGUUUAGUCUUUGCUAUGUUUUAUUCGUGGCUCAAAUUAACGUUCUUUUUCAAAGCUUUUUAUAUUUCACAGGAUCUUUUUUCUUUAGCAUUAAUUAGCACUAAUAAGUUUAUUUAGCUUUAAGUUGAUCUAAAGUAACUUCAGCUUUUUUACUACAAAAGCUAGUCUUUAUUCCUUUCACAAAAAAAGGAACAUUUAUUUGCUUUUAAAUAAAAAACUUUAUGCCUUUGGCAUCACAUAUUC